rnacentral:rRNA from 1 species
GAUGAACGCUAGCGAUAGGCCUAACACAUGCAAGUCGAGGGGCAGCAUAGAGUAGCAAGACUUUGAUGGCGACCGGCGCACGGGUGAGUAACACGUAUGCAACCUACCUACAUCAGGGGAAUAACCCGGAGAAAUUCGGACUAAUACCGCCAAAUACAGGGAUGCCGCAUGGCAAUAUUUGUUAAAGAUUUAUCGGAUGGAGAUGGGCAUGCGUUCCAUUAGCUAGUUGGUAAGGCAACGGCUUACCAAGGCAACGAUGGAUAGGGGAACUGAGAGGUUUGUCCCCCACACUGGAACUGAGACACGGACCAGACUCCUACGGGAGGCAGCAGUGAGGAAUAUUGGUCAAUGGACGAGAGUCUGAACCAGCCAAAUCGCGUGAAGGAAGACUGCCCUACGGGUUGUAAACUUCUUUUGUACAGGAAUAAAAGACAUUACGUGUAAUGUAUUGCAUGUACUGUACGAAUAAGCAUCGGCUAACUCCGUGCCAGCAGCCGCCGUAA